UAGGGAAUCUUCCGCAAUGGACGAAAGUCUGACGGAGCAACGCCGCGGGAGUGAAGAAGGAUUUCGGUUCGUAAAACUCUGUUGUUAGGGAAGAAAAAAUGUAUAGUAACUAUAUACAAAAGAGACGGUACCUAACCAGAAAGCCACGGCUAACUACGUGCCAGCAGCCGCGGUAAUACGUAGGUGGCAAGCGUUGUCCGGAAUUAUUGGGCGUAAAGCGCGCGCAGGUGGUUUAGAAAGUCUGAUGUGAAAGCCCACGGCUCAACCGUGGAGGGUCAUUGGAAACUAAUAAACUUGAGUGCAGGAGAGAAAAGUGGAAUUCCUAGUGUAGCGGUGAAAUGCGUAGAGAUUAGGAGGAACACCGGUGGCGAAAGCGGCUUUUUGGCCUGCAACUGACACUGAGGCGCGAAAGCGUGGGGAGCAAACAGG
rnacentral:rRNA from 1 species